CCCCUCUUCAUUGGACCCAUCCCCUAGAUUCCUCUCACUUCUCUCUCUUUCUCUUCUCUUCUCUUCUCAUCUCUUCCCUCACCUCCAUCAAAUAUACACUUUCCAUUCUUUUAGAUUCAAUUCAAACCAAAAUAUACUAAAAAAACUUAUUCUUCUUCUUUUUCUGAUGGUUUUACUGAUACAAAAUCAUUAGGGGAAUUUGUUUUUUUAAGCUCUAAAUUCACCCACCUCAAGUUAAAGAAGCA
rnacentral:lncRNA from 1 species